UCGGGCUAAGCUCCGCCCUCGCACAUGUCGGGGAGGCCGGGGGGUAAACAAACAUCGGCGUCGGCCAUGGCGGCCGUGCUGUAGCGGCGACCGCGAGUCUUUUGUUUAUUGUAGCCCGGUUAAAAUUUGCCGAGUCCACAAGAUCGAGCAGCUUUGUGCCCCUUACGAUUCCUCCGUCGUCUGCUAGAAGCAUUUCGAAGAUUCCAAGAUGAAGACGACGAAGAGCAUCAAAAGAAGGCGCUUGCCUAGCCUCGCGAUUGAAACGCCGGUUGCGCCGGUCACUGCGAGACCGCCGCCCGAUUGUACCGGUCCCAGAUGGGCUGUUGACAUCCAGAAACACUCCAACAGAUGGUGGUCAUACAGCGAUUGUGAAGAAUGUGAAGACAGUCCGAUUUGGAUCCAAAUUCCUAGUCCACUCAUUGAUAAUCUUUCCUUGUUGCAUCAAUGCCCAAGUAUGCCAGGCACUGAGUGACUACUCGCAUGUGUUAGUGAUGGUGGCUUGCGAGGCUUCAGUAUUGUCGCUGCAGAUAGGGCUCACCCCCACACCAAAGCUGUUGGAGGUGUACCUUUCCAUGGAAUUGUUUGGUUGAUCCCAAUUUCCUAGAAACGCCAAUAUUCAGUUUGGUGUGCCUUGCGGCUGAAGUAGAUUCAUCAAGGAGGUCUCGUCUCUUUCUUGGGGGUAAUACCAUGUCAGCUGCUUUGCAUGAGCCACUUGGAAACUGUUUGGACCGCUCUAAAGCACUUGUAAUUGACCUUACCUGUUGUGUCCAUGCUAAUGCUGAAAUGUAAAGUUCACUGAACCAAGUUUUACUAAUGAACCAUAACAAUCAGUGGAAAGGAUGAAUGGCUUUAUUUGUUUUCUCGAAGUAAACACUGUUUCAUACAUAAUACAUGAUGCUGGCAACGCUACUUUCAUUAGCAGACAACUUAGUCUACACUCUGUUUCACGAUAGCUUGGUGAACCGUGGAGGCUACGGCUCCUGCGACCCAGUAAGAAUGUCGGAGCGAGGCACAUGGCAGCAUGUCACAGGAGCAUCUGUGUCACCGCGUCAAAUGCAAGGACCACCCACCAGAACCGGCUGUCAAAUGCUCAGAAACCAAACGAAUUCGGAUGGACGUCCACUGCAGCAACAUUAAGGCCUGUUCACACAUGCAGCGGAGCGCUACAAGCAUAGCGCUGACCUCGCGCUAAGCGCGUGAUGACGGGAGCGUUCACCAGCUUUGUAUCGCACCGUCGAAACUGUCGCUCAUGGCAGACAAUAAGUAGCUGACGGCACGUGAGGAGCGCUUCGCUGCAUGUGAGAACCGGCCUUUACCGUCCGCUAGAGUAGCGAGGUCUUCAGUAACACUUUUAUGAGGCAACCACAUGCUCAAUUUGCCCAUGAAUCUGUGGCGGGUGCUAAUGCUAGGGCGAUGUUUUGAGCGGAAGUGGUCGAUUCACGGCUACAAUUGUUUGAACGUCGAUCACAAGCCACGUUUUUCUCAAAAGUGUUGAUAUAUAUUAAGUGUCGUUAAUAAGUAACAUAUGUCUUAGUCUUUCUUCAGUGUCAUGUAGUGUUGUGGUUCGAAGAAUCCUACGGCAACACUACUAAAAGAAGAAGA
rnacentral:lncRNA from 1 species